CCUACGGGUGGCUGCAGUGGGGAAUAUUGGGCAAUGGACGCAAGUCUGACCCAGCAACGCCGCGUGAAGGAAGAAGGCUUUCGGGUUGUAAACUUCUUUUAAGGGGGAAGAGCAGAAGACGGUACCGUUUGAAUAAGCCACGGCUAACGACGUGCCAGCAGCCGCGGAAAUACGUAGGUGGCAAGCGUUGUCCGGAUUUAUGGGGUGUAAAGGGCGUGGAGCCGGAGAGACAAGUCAGAUGUGAAAUCCACGGGCUCAACCCGGGAACUGCAUUUGAAACAUUUUCCCUUGAGUGUCGGAGAGGUAAUCGGAAUUCCUUGUGUAGCGGUGAAAUGCGUAGAUAUAAGGAAGAACACCAGUGGCGAAGGCGAAUUACUGGACGGUAACUGACGGUGAGGCGCGAAAGCGUGGGGAGCAAACAGGAUUAGAUACCCGGGUAGUC
rnacentral:rRNA from 1 species